AGUUACUCAAGGUAUGAUUUCUAGCAUGGAACUGGAUAAAGCAUCAGUGUUAGGCCAUACGGUGGAGAGUUUAAGGGUGCGUAUAUCCAUAUAUUUGACAUGUGGAGCUGUGUGGGGAAAUGGCACAGGAUAGAGAUACUUCUUGACCGCCACUUAUUCACUGUAGAGCAUUGGGUCACCGAAGUCUUACAAGUGGAAGAGAAUGGAAAAGAAAAAUGCAAAUGUGUUCAGUAUUAUUCUACAACUCAAAUCAUAAAAGAGAUGGUAUGAUGAGGCAAAAAGAAGCUCAAGAAAAUGGCAUAAAAUGGUCAUCUAUGAACUUUUAGAUUUUGCCUUCUCAGUAUUUCAGUUUCUUUAUCUAAAGUGAGUAUGGAACUGUGAAGGCAAAUAUAAUGAGUUGUAAGGAAGAUAAUCAGUCUCUCCCUUUCUCUCUCUCCCUUUCCUUGUUUUUCAAUUAAAAUGAAAAUCUUCGUGAAAUGCAAGAACUGCUUAUACUGGAUUAAAGGUAAUAUACAAUGGUACUUCCUUGUUAUGUUAGAGCAAAAUAAUGUAAUAACUACUAAUUUAUACAAUAUACUUAUAUUUAAAAAA